rnacentral:rRNA from 1 species
UACAGAGGGUGCAAGCGUUAAUCGGAAUUACUGGGCGUAAAGCGUGCGUAGUCGGUUAUCUAAGUCGGGUGUGAAAUCCCCGGGCUCAACCUGGGAAUUGCAUUCGAUACUGGAUAGCUAGAGUUCGGCAGAGGGAAGCGGAAUUUCCGGUGUAGCGGUGAAAUGCGCAGAUAUCGGGAGGAACACCGGUGGCGAAGGCGGUUCUCUGGGCCUGUACUGACGCUGAGGAGCGAAAGCGUGGGGGAGCGAACAGG